rnacentral:rRNA from 3 species
GACGAACCGUGCGAACGUUGUUCGGAAUCACUGGGCUUAAAGGGCGCGUAGGCGGGCUAUCAAGUCCGGGGUGAAAUCCUCCAGCUCAACUGGAGAACGGCCUCGGAUACUGAUGGUCUCGAGGAGGAUAGGGGCACACGGAACUGUGGGUGGAGCGGUGAAAUGCGUUGAUAUCCAUAGGAACUCCGGUGGCGAAAGCGGUGUGCUGGAUCCUUUCUGACGCUGAGGCGCGAAAGCCAGGGGAGCAAACGGG